rnacentral:rRNA from 1 species
CCCUUAGAUGUUCUGGGCCGCACGCGCGCUACACUGACGGAGCCAACGAGUACUUUCCUUGUCCGGAAGGACCGGGUAAUCUUUGAAUCUGCAUCGUGACGGGGAUAGAUUAUUGCAAUUAUUAAUCUUCAACGAGGAAUGCCUAGUAGGCGCAAGUCAUCAGCUUGCGUCGAUUACGUCCCUGCCCUUUGUACACACCGCCCGUCGCUCCUACCGAUUGGAUGGUCCGGUGAAGCCUCGGGAUUGUGGUUCUUGCCGCUUUAUUGUGGCGUGACCGCGAGAACUUGUCUAAACCUUAUCAUCUAGAGGAAGGUGAAGUCGUAACA